UUAAAAAGCUCGUAGUUGGAUUUCUGUGGGGACGAGCGGCCGGCCGCUACUAGCGGUUCGAGCUAGCGCUUUCCCUACAUCCUGCCGCGAACCGUGCUACCAUUAGUUUGGUGGCGCCGAGGAUCGGCUCGUUUACUUUGAGAAAAAUAGAGUGUUCAAAGCAGGCCACACGCCUUGAAUAAGUUAGCAUGGAAUAAUAACUAAGGACUUCGGUUCUAUUUUGUUGGUUGUUCGGGACUGAAGU
rnacentral:rRNA from 1 species